GUUCCCAGUGAUGAUUAACUACCAUGCUAAUUCUGAGAUUCCUUUCGGUCUUAAUGAAUUGAAUCCUAUUGUUUAUCCAGAACAUUUGAGGGAACU